UCCGAAGGGGGCUAGCGUUGUUCGGAAUUACUGGGCGUAAAGCGCACGUAGGCGGAUACUUAAGUCAGGGGUGAAAUCCCGGGGCUCAACCCCGGAACUGCCUUUGAUACUGGGUAUCUGGAGUCCGGAAGAGGUGAGUGGAAUUCCGAGUGUAGAGGUGAAAUUCGUAGAUAUUCGGAGGAACACCAGUGGCGAAGGCGGCUCACUGGUCCGGUACUGACGCUGAGGUGCGAAAGCGUGGGGAGCAAACAGG
rnacentral:rRNA from 1 species